CAGUCGCCGCGGGAAUACGGAGGGUGCAAGCGUUAAUCGGAAUUACUGGGCGUAAAGCGUGCGUAGGCGGUUCGUUAAGUCUGUUGUGAAAGCCCCGGGCUCAACCUGGGAAUGGCAAUGGAUACUGGCGAGCUAGAGUGUGUCAGAGGAUGGUGGAAUUCCCGGUGUAGCGGUGAAAUGCGUAGAGAUCGGGAGGAACAUCAGUGGCGAAGGCGGCCAUCUGGGACAACACUGACGCUGAGGCACGAAAGCGUGGGGUGCAAACAGGAUUAGAUACCCGUGUAGUCCCUGUCUCUUAUAC
rnacentral:rRNA from 1 species